AGGAUCUUGGAAUAUGGGAUUUGAUUUAUGAACAUAGAUCGUUUUUCAGCAGGAGUUCACUCAUGUAUUUGUUCAAAGCAUGUGGAUUCUC
rnacentral:tRNA from 1 species